GGUCCAGUAGCUCAGUUGGUUAGAGCGCUGCUCCGGAAUCGGAGGGCCGCAGGUUCGAUUCCUGUCAGGGACCU